AAAAUAAAAAUAAAAAUAAAAGAUCCUUCAAGGGUUCAAUUCCAAAUACAAAUUGUUAAAACCUUAAAACUAGAUAGAAUAUUUAUUGCCAAGACAAACCAGAAUAAUUUAGUAAGUUAAUUUCACCAUAAAAGUUAACAGCACCAUAAACCAGAAUAAUUUAGUAACUUAAGUUUGCGUCUCACCUGUAUAACUUUGUAUAUUUUGUCAGUUAACUGCACCAUAAAAGUUGAAGUUGGGGGGGGGGGGGGGGGGG
rnacentral:misc_RNA from 1 species